GAUGAACGCUAGCGGCAGGCUUAACGCAUGCAAGUCGAGGGGUAUAGGGAGCUUGCUUCCUAGAGACCGGCGCACGGGUGCGUAACGCGUAUGCAAUCUACCUUUUGCAGAGGGAUAGCCCAGAGAAAUUUGGAUUAAUACCUCAUAGUAUAGCAGUUUCGCAUGAAACCACUAUUAAAGUCACAACGGCAAAAGAUGAGCAUGCGUCCCAUUAGCUUGUUGGUAAGGUAAUGGCUUACCAAGGCAACGAUGGGUAGGGGUCCUGAGAGGGAGGAUCCCCCACCACUGGUACUGAGACACGGACCAGACUCCUACGGGAGGGCAGCAGUGAGGAAUAUUGGACG
rnacentral:rRNA from 1 species